rnacentral:misc_RNA from 1 species
GUGAUAUUUCUCCCUUUUGUGAUGGGAGAUAUAGGGACGUUUUGUGUAGUUUUAAUUGGUCUGUGUUUCCUGGUUUCCUCUGCAGAAGGAGCCAAAAGACCACCACACAUACUCUAUAUCGUUGCGGACGACUUAGGUCACGGAACAGUUUUUUGACCGGUGUAUACCCUUUCCGAGUGGGCUUAUCAGGCACUGCGAUCACUCCGCACCAAGCAAGGUUUAUGUCACUCAAAACUCCAACUCUUCCGGAGAAACUGAAGAAGCUUGGUUACUCGACCCAUAUGAUCGGGAAGUGGCACCUUGGUUUCUGUAACGAGAGGUACACGCCAACACGCCGUGGCUUCGACUCCUUCCUGGGUUUCUACACGGGAACUCAAGACUACUACAAACACACCACAGCGAAAGGUUACGACUUCCGAUUUAACCAAACCGUGUUCUACCCCCCAAAGAAGCAGUACUCCACCAAAACCUAUGCCAAACGAGCAGUGGACAUUAUAACGGAACACAAAAGAAAGAAGAAUCCUCUGUUUUUAUACCUCGCCUUCCAAUCAGUGCACACGCCAUUACAGGUUCCUAAAAAGUAUGAAAAACAGUACAACAACAUUAAAAACAAAGACCGACGGGUUUAUUCUGGUAUGGUAACGGCCAUGGACGAUGCCAUUGGAGCUGUAAUGGCGGCCUUCCGGAAACACAAGUUCAUGGGAAAUCUCAUUGUAGUGUUCACUACAGAUAAUGGCGGAGCAGCUCACAUCGUUGGGAACAACUUUCCGCUGCGCGGCUCCAAGACCACUGUGUGGGAGGGGGGAACAAGGGCGGUGUCCUUUGUCUACAGCAAGAACCUACUGAAGAAGACGGGAUACACUCACGAGGGCUUGUUCCACGCUACCGACUGGUUUCCUACUAUUUUUGCAGUAGCUGGGGGCAAACCAAAACAGGAAAAGCAGCUGGACGGUGUCAAUCAGUGGCCGAUGAUUCGAUCCGGUAAACCAUCCAGGAGGACUGAGUUUGUGUACGAAAUAGACAAGUCCAGACCGGUGUCCGCAAUCAGAAUGGGUAAAUACAAGCUAAUUGUGGGGAACCCAGGGGAUUACAACAACUGGUACAGAAUCGCUAAGUCUAACAGCUUCUGUCCAAUCUAUGACGAAAACGAGACCGGAAGUGACGAGGAUAUAUUUAUAUACGAGUCACUGAACAACAUUGUCAGAAAUGCAAAAGGCUACGUGAAAUGGUUAUCAUCCAAACUUCCCGGAUACAGAAUGGUGAGAAAAUGGCACAGAUAUAGACAACUGGAGCGGUGUAGAAAGUUAAAGAAAAGGGAUAAGGCAAAGUGGCGCUUCCCCAGAUAUCUGCUGUACGAUUUAGAAGCUGAUCCUUCAGAAAGAAAGAACAUAGCUGGUUACAAGCCAGUGUUAGUGAGGAAAAUGAAGGCACGCUUAGAACAUUAUCAGAAGAAAACUAAACAUGUGGCUGGACAAAGUAAAAGGAAAGUGGCAGCAGCGGAUCCAAAGCACCAUCAUGGCGUUUGGACGCCGGGGUGGUGCACAUGAUAUUUCAUCUACACUGUUCGUGUAUUAUGUUAUACUUUUAGUCCACAGAUAAGAUGGUUCCAGAGAUUAGGAACGCUUGUGUAUACCGGUGUUUGUAGUGACGUAGGAAGAACUAUUUUUGUAAACUAGUGAUAAUUAUAGAACUGUUUGCUUUACGAACCGAAAAGAUUGCAACGACGGUUUACUUCACAGGCAAGUGGUGUUGACUAUUUUUCUCAUAAUAAAAAAUAUUUACCCUUUACCUAAUAGUAUACGUGUAUUAUUAGGUAAGGGAUAUAUAUUUUUUUCAUUAUGAGAAAAAAUAUAUAACGUAAUGCGUAUGGAGCCUGUGGUUUACUUCAAGUUUUUGGUAUUUAUAUAUCAUACAUUAAUUUUAUCGAAUAUGAAGAAUAGUUUAGUUUUGUCAUCAUCACUUGCCAUAGUUUGCUUACUGUGACCAAUAAUGUUCGACAUUCACCUGCAAAAGUCUUUAUAUAAUUAUAAGGAAGGAAAGAAAGUAUUCAGUCAACAUCAUUUGCACUUUUGUUGAAGACCUGACUGUGGAAUGAAGUAUAUUUAUUUUCUGGGAAUUGUAUGACUUGGUAGGCUUUCAAAAAGGGGGUUUUUUACGAAUUUUGUUUAACUAUUAAAAUUACAAGUAU